GAUUAAUUAGUUUAUGAUAAAAAUAUUGGUUUGUGGAGCCAAAGAUUUUGUUAGUCA
rnacentral:tRNA from 1 species